rnacentral:rRNA from 1 species
ACACGACUCUCGGCAACGGAUAUCUCGGCUCUCGCAUCGAUGAAGAACGUAGCGAAAUGCGAUACCUGGUGUGAAUUGCAGAAUCCCGCGAACCAUCGAGUCUUUGAACGCAAGUUGCGCCUGAGGCCACUUGGCCGAGGGCACGCCUGCUUGGGCGUCACGU